AUUAGGAGCAAGUGAAACAAUUGUUGUUGCAAAGGAUCGACAGCAGGUAACGGGGAAAGAGGAAAGGCUUUCCUUCAUCAACGGAGAAACAGAACGUCGCCGUUUUAAUAAACGAAGAAACUAGAACGGCGUCGUUUCAGUUUAAGAAGGAGAUCUGGAACCUGCUCUUUCCUCCAUUUUCCCUGCAGAGGUUUCUUCUACAGUUCUACUUCUUGGGUUUUGGAACCCUCCCUGGCCAGCGCAUUCUCGCCAGCGUUAUCGCCGGAGGUUCGAACCAGCAUCCGGAGCUCGAAAUCUCUCAGAUGUUGGUUCUCAGAUCUUAUAAGAAACUAUGAAGCCAUUCAGGCUUUGAUCAUGGUGAGGAAUGGCUGAACUACAAAUUUUACCAAAAAGGAUAAGCUGUUUUCUCUUCAUAGUGCAUCAUGGACAUUCAAAGAGUGUUUGGACUCAUGGAACCCAUCACCUCCACCAUCACAUAGCCUGUCAACCAGGUUUGCUCCUUCAUCUUUCACACACAAGCUGGGAAAAGAAUGCCCUGAACAACUAUGGUUGGGCUUAUUGUGCAACUCCGUACCAUGAGUGGCGGUGUUACCACUUCUCUGGUCACAAUGCUGCAUAUCGUGGUGCCCUUCAUUGCCUACACAACAAUCAUGCCUGUCAGCUGAGUCCGUGCAUUUAGUAUUCACACACGAACUCAACCCGGAAUGAUCAGGCUGACAUCUUGAAGCACACCUCUGGGAAGAACACUUCUGAGGCUCACACUUCUUUUGAGAAAUGCUGUUGGAACAACUAUGCUGAUGAUUAUGAGAUGAGUGGCUCCCACCCCCUUUACAUCCAUGCUUGUCAACAUGUGAGGCAGCAGAGGAUUUACAGCAUUUUCCUCCAUGUUGGUGUGUUCCUCGUAAAAGUAGCAUGCUGUUGAAGAUCACUAGCAAGCAUGUACCGACAUCAGCAAGAACUGCUGCCCAAAUAAGCGGGUGACCUGCAAUGGCCAAGGCAAGGAUGGCAGCCUUUGUAGUGAUUGAUAAAAUGACAUUCUCAACUACUUUUCUGUGGGUUUUCCUUGCUAACCGAACAGCUUUGGGUAUUUUUCUAAUAUCAUUUGUCAUAAGAACCACAUGCCCUGUCUCUGUCGCAAGUGCUGAACCCGCAAUGCCCAUUGAGAUACCAAUAUCUGCUGUGGCCAAUGCAGGGGCAUCAUUUACACCAUCACCAAUCAUGGCUGUUGGUCCUUCCUCCUUAAAGUCUUUUAUGAUUCUCGCCUUAUCUUCAGGUAAAAGUUCUGCAUGAACAACCUCUAGAGUAUGCCCUAGCUGCACAUGAGAUAUUUUUUGCUGCCUUGUUAGCUUAUUACUUUAGGAUUUUACAGUCAUAUUUUGAUGAUUUUUUACACAUGAUAAUCAAAUUAUAUAAA